rnacentral:rRNA from 1 species
AGUCGAGCGAAUCGAUGGGAGCUUGCUCCCUGAGAUUAGCGGCGGACGGGUGAGUAACACGUGGGCAACCUGCCUAUAAGACUGGGAUAACUUCGGGAAACCGGAGCUAAUACCGGAUACGUUCUUUUCUCGCAUGAGAGAAGAUGGAAAGACGGUUUCGGCUGUCACUUAUAGAUGGGCCCGCGGCGCAUUAGCUAGUUGGUGAGGUAAUGGCUCACCAAGGCGACGAUGCGUAGCCGACCUGAGAGGGUGAUCGGCCACACUGGGACUGAGACACGGCCCAGACUCCUACGGGAGGCAGCAGUAGGGAAUCUUCCGCAAUGGACGAAAGUCUGACGGAGCAACGCCGCGUGAACGAAGAAGGCCUUCGGGUCGUAAAGUUCUGUUGUUAGGGAAGAACAAGUACCAGAGUAACUGCUGGUACCUUGACGGUACCUAACCAGAAAGCCACGGCUAACUACGUGCCAGCAGCCGCGGUAAUACGUAGGUGGCAAGCGUUGUCCGGAAUUAUUGGGCGUAAAGCGCGCGCAGGUGGUUCUUUAAGUCUGAUGUGAAAGCCCACGGCUCAACCGUGGAGGGUCAUUGGAAACUGGGGAACUUGAGUGCAGAAGAGGAAAGUGGAAUUCCAAGUGUA